UGAAAAUGUAUAUUCUGAAAUAGAAUCAGGCUAACUAUAGCAUGUUGAAAUGAGAAUUUAUAGCCUUAGAGCUGCUAUUAGUAUAAAACAAGACUUCAGGUUGUUUUAAUUUCAUUUUGCUUCAACAUUUAUUCUGCAUCAUAUACUGUGGCAAGUUGCUUUGAAUUGUUUUCUGAAAAAAAAAACCUUUCUUCUUUCAUAUAGCAUCACGUCAUCUUGACAGCUAUGAAUUCCUUAAAGCCAUUUUAAACUGAGGCAUUAAGAAGAAAUGCACUCACCAUGAGCACCAACUUCUGCAUCUGCCUGAUCAUAUUUAAAGGAACAGAGAAAUAUUUGUAAUUAAUCUGCCCAGUAAAUACCAGCUCGUAGCAGUUGGCAGGUGCAUGUCUAGAUAAAAUUUCUUGCAGCUAAUUUAAACUUUCUACACGCACCAGUAGAUAAUCUCAAUGUAAAUAAUACAUUUCUUCUUGGCUCUUUAAUGUAAGCCAACAUGGAGAGGAAGAUCUUGACUUAUAUUCUGUACCACAUACACUUCUGUGGACUUUUAGCAUUUGUGGGUAGACUUAAUAAAGCAUGUAUAAAAGUGGCA
rnacentral:lncRNA from 1 species